UGCAAGUAGAUCUUAGAAUCCAUGGUGAUUUUGAUGCUAAAUGAACAAUGGAUAAGUGAUUAGCUCAGGUGCAUUGCUCAGUACAUCAAGACUUGCUGUAAUGUAGGUAAUGGCAUCUCUUAGACUUCCACUCUGAGUUGCUCCGCUACUUAGAGGUCGAACUAUGUGGAGUAGUCAGACUCAUAAUGAUUACUAGUUAUGGGAAUGUAUUUGUUAAAAACUUGAUGUGGUGUAAUGAUUGUCACUUAUUAAGUUGAAUAUGUUGUGUAGUUAUUAAA